rnacentral:misc_RNA from 1 species
AUUCGUAUCAAAUAAGAAGCAUCAAAAGCAUACAUGAUACACCAAAGGCAGCCGCUUUAUCAUGAAUAUAACAUUACAUUAAUUGGUGAGGCCAGCACUAGCAAAUAGCAAUCAUGCAUGGUCUCCUUUUAUUAUUUUUAUUAUUUCUUUUUAAUAAAAAUUGAGUAACAGCCCCAAAAUUAAACAGUAAAAUAUCAAACAAAACAAAUAAUAAUGCAAGAGUCGGAUGAGGCUUUCGAAAAUCCUCUUAAGCUUUAGAGGUGAAGUCGAAGUUUGCACAAGUUGUUUGUCUAGACAACAGAGAAGAGCUAAACCCAAGCCUUGAAGUGGCAAGAUCAAACUGCAGAAGAUUGUCCUCCAAUUGGUGCCCUCCAAUCACUAUUGAAGUCCUCGGAUUUACACCUCCAUCAACGAAUCCCAGACAUAGCACAUCACUAUUAGCUUCCACCAUUGAGUUGGCACCGACAAUCCUCCAGAAAACAUUAUUGCUCUGCAACACAAGAUCAAUUGAUGGCACAUUUGCUCCAAGGCGAGUGCCAAGGAUUUUGGUAGAGUUAAAACAAGCCCCGAAAGGUGCCACAGAUGCCACUCUUGGGACAUCACCCAUCUCCUUCGCAAAAGCAUUAACAACAGCAUUGUAGAUUGUUGUCUCCAUGACAGUGUAAGGAUUAACGGUGCUAAUCUUUGUUCCACCGAAGCCUUCCCUGUUAAUGGAUAGCAAUGUUUUAUUCAAUGGAACAGCUUUUCCAUUG